rnacentral:misc_RNA from 1 species
GAUGAAGAACGUAGCGAAAUGCGAUAAGUAAUGUGAAUUGCAGAAUUCAGUGAAUCAUCGAAUCUUUGAACGCACAUUGCGCCCGCCAGUAUUCUGGCGGGCAUGCCUGUUCGAGCGUCAUUUCAACUAUCAAGGCCCAGGCUUGUGUUGGAGCCCUGCGGCUGCCGCAGCCUCCCAAAACCAGUGGCGGGCUCGCUAUCACACCGAGUGCAGUAGUUUACUCUUCGCUCAGGGCGUGUGGCGGGUGCUAGCCGUAAAACCCCCAACUUCUCAAGGUUGACCUCGGAUCAGGUAGGAAUACCCGCUGAACUUAAGCAUAUCAAUAAGCGGAGGA